rnacentral:pre_miRNA from 1 species
GUAAUGAGGCUGAUCCAAAGCCCACUGAAGUUGAUGGGAGCCUUCUCAUUGACUUCAGCGAGAUUUGGAUCAGGCCUUAUAUAU